UACGUAGGGGGCAAGCGUUGUCCGGAUUCAUUGGGCGUAAAGAGCGCGUAGGCGGCCAGGCAGGUCGGUUGUGAAAACUGGAGGCUCAACCUUCAGAGGUCGACCGAAACCAUCUGGCUAGAGUCCGGGAGAGGAGAGUGGAAUUCCUGGUGUAGCGGUGAAAUGCGCAGAUAUCAGGAAGAACACCCGUGGCGAAAGCGGCUCUCUGGAACGGUUCUGACGCUGAGACGCGAAAGCGUGGGGAGCAAACAGG
rnacentral:rRNA from 1 species